AGUGACACGACGACCUGUCACGGCAGGAGCGGGGGAACCAGGUAGGCGCCGUGCCGUGCCAUGUCGGGCGGGACGGCUAGGGGUGAAGUCGCGCCACGGUGCCGGGGGCACCGGGAGAGGCGCGGCCGGGCAGCUCCCGCCCGAACCCGACAGCUCACCUCGCAGGCGUCAGGAGAGGAUGA
rnacentral:sRNA from 2 species